rnacentral:rRNA from 1 species
CCUACGGGAGGCAGCAGUAGGGAAUAUUGCUCAAUGGGGGAAACCCUGAAGCAGCAACGCCGCGUGGAGGAUGAAGGUUUUCGGAUUGUAAACUCCUUUUGUUAGAGAAGAUAAUGACGGUAUCUAACGAAUAAGCACCGGCUAACUCCGUGCCAGCAGCCGCGGUAAUACGGAGGGUGCAAGCGUUACUCGGAAUCACUGGGCGUAAAGAGAGCGUAGGCGGGAUAGCAAGUCAGAUGUGAAAUCCUAUGGCUUAACCAUAGAACUGCAUUUGAAACUGUUAUUCUAGAGUAUGGGAGAGGUAGGUGGAAUUCUGUGUGUAGGGGUAAAAUCCGUAGAGAUCUAGAGGAAUACUCAUUGCGAAGGCGACCUGCUAGAACAUAACUGACGCUGAUGCGCGAAAGCGUGGGGAGCAAACAGGAUUAGAUACCCCUGUAGUC